rnacentral:tRNA from 1 species
GUCCCUGUAGCGCAGUGGAUAAUGAAUUGGAUUUUUAAUCCAAAGGUCGUGGGUUCAAAUCCCACCAGGGAUG